rnacentral:piRNA from 1 species
UGGGCUCAGAAUAGAGGAAGGGCAGG